UUCACCAACUUUUCUCUGCUCACUGCCUCCUCCAAAAGAUUAUCUUUUCUCUUUCACUUUCUCUUGUCUUCAAUAAUCUUAACACUCUAAACUUCCACCAUUAAAUCCUUCAUUUUUUACACUUAAUGAUGCCAAUCCUUUUUCUCAACAUUCUUCGCUUUUCUCCUCUUGGUUCCUUGGAAACUUCCAUUUAAAGGUUUUUGUUUUUAUUUAUCUUCUUUUUUUUUUUUUUUUUACUCUCAGUGAUCCUUUUUUGUUUUAUUAUAUUUUUUGACUUAGCAUUAAUUUUUUUUUCAAAAUUUCUUUUUGUGUUGUUGGGUUGUUAAAAAGGAUUAGAUUUGAUGGGUCAAUGGCGGACAUGGGUGAAGCGGGGAAGAUGGAGAACGGUGAGAUGGUUGUGGAGACAAGCUUUACGCGUACCGUGGGUUGGGAGCAUCAAGGAAGCUUUGGAGGAGUUGAAGCUCAAUCCUCUCCAUCUUCUUGAUUUGAUUAGAUUUGAUGGGAUGAUAAGAUUUCGGGUGCACCUCAUUAUGCAUAUAGAGUUGACUGUUGACGGUAAAAUAUGUGGUUUUUCUUUAUCAUUAAUUCUUCUUGAUUUGAUAUCCGUAUCUUAUUGAUUUGUUUUCUAAUAUUUUUGCGUGGUUGAAGGAUAAAGGUCAUCCCUCCUCGCUCGUGCAGCUUGUAGUCAUCCUCAUGCAACCUGUAUUACUUGCUCUUAUAAAUAAUUUGGUUAUGGUAGAAGAUCAUCGGGCAUCGCACUUCCAAAUCUCUGCCCAUUGUGAGUCUUUAUAAUCCUUCAAUUUUCAGUUUUUGAUUGUAUUUAUUUCUUAUUUGAUCAUAUUUACGUGGUAUUGUAGAAUUAUAUUGCACAUGCUUAAAUUUCGUGAAAGUGGAGGUAGAUAUGGUUCUUUAGAUCUAAUAGAAAGAACUGAAAAAAAUGAUUGUAAUUUCUUAUCAUAGAAAAUCUAAGAAAUUUAAAAACAAAUAAAUCAAAUAAAAAGAAACAAAAAAAAGAAAAUAACUAUCAAUUUACAAAUAAUACAUAAAAAUAGAAAGAAAUGAAAAAAAAUGAACUAUCAAAUAUGAAAAAAAAAGCCCAUAUAAAGAAAUUUAGAAAUAAUUAAUUUAGUAAGAAAUAAUAAAUAAUUUAGUAAAUUGAAUCCAGAGACAAAAAAAUCAAUCAAAACAAACAAAAAGAGUUAAACAUAAAUUAAUUUAGAAAUAAGGCCACAUAAAGAAAUCUAGAAAUAAAAAAUAAUUUAGUAAAUUGCAUCCAGAAACAAGAAAUCAUCCAAAUUAAUUUAGAAAGAAACAAAAAAAAAAAAUGAAUUAUCAAAUUAGAAAUAGUAUGAGUAAAAAAUUGAUUAUCAAAUAUGAAAUAAUAACUAGAAAUAAUAAAUAAUUUUGUAAGAAAUAAUAAUCUAGAAAAAAGAAGAAGCCCAUAUUAAUUUAAGGGGUUGAGGGUGCAGGUGCACACCUGUAGACUGUUAAUUUUUCUUUUUCUUUUUUGUCAAAUAUCUCCUUUUUUCUGUGUAUAUGUGAUCGUAGUUUUAAUUUAUUUUAAACAAUCAUGUAUCAGGCGAGGCGAAGAUGUGGAGAAACAUAAUCAUCAUAUGUUAUUUUAAUCUCUUACUUUUUAUUUUUAAGUUAUUUAAUUUAAUACAUAAAAUUAUAUUUUUGGUUAAUUAAUAAAUUAUUUAGUACUUUACAUGCCUAGUUUGAGGAGUAAAGUAAUUUGCAUGUAUUAUUUCAAUGUAGUCAGGCAAUCUAUGAUAUGUUGAUGCUUAAUCCUACGAAACUAUUAUAAGAAAAUUUAAGUUGACUAUCAGCAGGAUGAUGGCAGUGAAAUCAAUUGCUCUCUUGUUGAUCUAUUUGGUCCUCACCUUAUAGUUAUAGUGACGGAAAAAUAUGUGGUUUAUAAUCAUUCUUAUUGAUUUGUUUUUCAAUACUUUUGCGUUGCUCUAGGAGAAUGGUCGUCUCCCCUAUUGUUGCUCGUAGAGGAUCAUCGGGCACAGCAGUUUCAAAUCUCUGCCCAUUGUGAGUGUUUUAUAAUUUUUUAUUUUUUUGUUUUUGAAUAUUAUAAAAAAUCUUGUAUUUAUUUGUUGUUUUAUUAUUUUUACAUCAUAAUCUAAAAUUAUAAAAUUCUUCUAGAUAUCUUGUUAAUUUUGUGAAUAUGGAAAUAGAUAUGGUUCUUUAGAUUUACAUGAAAGAACUGAAAACAUUAAUAGGGGUUAAGGGGUUGGGGUUUUGGGGGUCGGGGUUUAGGAACUGCUUUGCCUCAUAAAUAUUUUCUUUAGUUACUCGAUAAUGUUUUCUGCCUCAUCAAGCUGCUCCUGCCGUAUUUUAUAGAAGGAAUUCAGUAUCUUUCAGUUGUUCCUCAACUGAUUUUGCUUUUUCCUUUAAGAUCAGAACUUCAAAAAUUAUGGUAGCAUGUUGGGCAUUGCUGCUCUCAAGUUCUUCAUUUCUUCUUCCAAGCUGCUAAAGUAUAACAUCUUUGGCACUUAGCUCUUCAAGUUUAGAUUUGAGUUGAACUUCUCGUUGCAUUGAACCAUAUAAAUUAAAUUGAGCAAUAUGAAGCCAGCCAAGUAGUUCAUUUGAAAUACCCAUCAGCACCUCUGCAUCAUUUUCUGCCUAUAAAAACCUUAAGACUUGUAGGCACGAGAGAUUGAAUUUUAAAAGAAAAAAGGUAGUGGAAAAAAGAGAGUAUAACGGUCCAAUUCAUAAUUUGAUUUUAAGCAAGUGAAAAUGAACCAGAUUUGAUGUAACAAUUAAAUGAAAUGAAAUUAAAUCGUUAUUACAUCAGCAAUUACAAAUUAUUUAAUUUAUUAGAGUGUCAUGAGAAAAUUGGCAAAAAAAAAUUCUAGUUAGAACCUUUAAAAAAUCUCAUUCUUUUUUUUCAAAAUAUCCAGAACCUUGUAGAGAAGAUAGAAAGGGAUAAGAGAAGCAGAUUAGAAAUAUAUCAGCCGAAAGAAGAAGAAGAAGAUUCAUAAGCGUAGAAAUGGG
rnacentral:lncRNA from 1 species